rnacentral:rRNA from 1 species
UACGUAGGGUGCGAGCGUUGUCCGGAAUUAUUUGGGCGUAAAGAGCUUGUAGGCGGUUUUGUCGCGUCUGCCGUGAAAAUUCGAGGCUCAACCUCGAACUUGCGGUGGGUACGGGCAGACUAGAGUGUGGUAGGGGAGACUGGAAUUCCUGGUGUAGCGGUGAAAUGCGCAGAUAUCAGGAGGAACACCGAUGGCGAAGGCAGCCCCCUGGGUCAAGAUUUGACGCUCAUGCACGAAAGCGUGGGGAGCAAACAGG